rnacentral:rRNA from 1 species
GACGAACGCUGGCGGCGUGCUUAACACAUGCAAGUCGAACGGAAAGGCCCUGCUUUUGUGGGGUGCUCGAGUGGCGAACGGGUGAGUAACACGUGAGUAACCUGCCCUUGACUUUGGGAUAACUUCAGGAAACUGGGGCUAAUACCGGAUAGGAGCUCCUGCUGCAUGGUGGGGGUUGGAAAGUUUCGGCGGUUGGGGAUGGACUGGCGGCUUAUCAGCUUGUUGGUGGGGUAGUGGCUUACCAAGGCUUUGACGGGUAGCCGGCCUGAGAGGGUGACCGGCGACAUUGGGACUGAGAUACGGCGCAGACUCCUACGGGAGGCAGCAGUGGGGAAUAUUGCACAGUGGGCGGAAGCCUGAUGCAGCAACGCCGCGUGCGGGAUGAAGGCCUUCGGGUUGUAAACCGCUUUCGCCUGUGACGAAGCGUGAGUGACGGUAAUGGGUAAAGAAGCACCGGCUAACUACGUG